rnacentral:lncRNA from 1 species
GCUAAAUGAUAACGUUAUCGUAAUCUGAUCAAGACGAAAUAAUUUUGAACUUAGUUGAUACCUACCUACUUGAUAUUUUGUUAAUUGUUAUUACUUAUUAUUAUUUACCUACCUUACUUACUAUUUCACUAUUGUCAACAUUUUAUUUCGACUGAAAUCGACAUAUAUUAUUAUACUUCUCUAUGACUGAAAUAUGUCGCAUCGUUGCGGGCGGCGAGCCGGAGCAAAAUAGACAACCUACUCUUCGACCGACAACAACAGCGAUGACGUUCGUUCCUAUUAAAUCUAGUUUUCAGACCAAUUGGUUUGGUCAUUGGUUACGACUUUGCCCGCGCAGGAUUGCACGUUAAGCAUGUUGGACACAAGGUCUGGGCCUUUUAGUCGUGUUGGUUCCAAAGCGGAAGUUUCACUGCUGUGUUGUCCUUCUCAUACAGUGGUGCUGAAGUAAAAAUAUAAAUCUAGGACAAACAUCAAAAAUCAAAACACCGCCCUCAAAAUAUAUUACAAAAUGGUCAAUUCUAAAACCAGAUCUCUUAAUAUAUCUACUUACAAAACAGAAGAAAGGAUCAUCAAACAGCAUUGUCAUUACAAAAAUAUGUAUACAAAUAUGUUUGUCAAAUUGGAUAAAAAAAAUUAACUUACUGAAAAAGCUGACCUUUUGCACUUGUGAACAAGAUAUAAAAUUAUAUUAUAUUAUAUUAUAUUAUAUAAUUAUAUCAUAUUGGACAAAUUAAGAGGAAUAUGGAAAAUAUGCUGAUUAUGUGGAUUUAAAGCAACAAUAUCAACAAAUGCAGUAAUGAUCUUCGGUUUGUACAAUUCAUGAAACAGCGGCAUAGAACAAGAUACAGGACAUCUUAAUAUUGUUAUGGAAUGUCGAAAAGAAGAAAGUCAUUCAAGAUAGAUUCUUCAUAUUACACAAGUUUCCAUGGGUUAUUAGUGCUGUGGACUGUAAUCACAUUAGAAUUCAGACACCCAACGCCAACAAAGGAGAAAUCGGAAAGGUGGUUCAAUCCACGAUAGCACAAUUUUUGGCAACAUUAUGAUAAGAGUUAAUUUUGAAAAUUAUGAAGUUGGAAAUUGCUUCUUAUUAGGAGAUGGUGGAUUUCCUUGCCGCGACUCUUCUUAAUCCUAAUACUGACACAGAGAAAUGAUAUCAGAUGAACCUUACAAGACCAUUGUGUUGUGAUUUUCGUGACUGAGUGGUAUUUCAAUAUUUUGGUCGUAUCAACUGCACUUUUCACCAGCAUUGAAAGUAUCUGGUGGCCAAGGACAAAAUAGAUUACGUGAACUCCUGUUAGUCAUUUUUUUCCUACUAAUUCUAUGAUGGAUAAAUCGUCCACAUUUGUUAUGCUCGUAAAGCUGCAUAAAGCCAGUUAAAAUAUGUAAAAACCUAAAGAUCCGCUCUCUAGUUAUAAGGGACCAAAAUAAAAGCAUCUAACUAGAUAUUCUGACCUAAAUUAUCUACUUUCUUAUCGAAACUGUAGUUAUCAAAUCUUUAGCAAUUUGAAAAAAAAUUAUGAAUAAAUAAUUCAAAUUUGUUAACUAAAUUUGUUGUAUUUUAAGUCUUAUUGGCCGUUGUACAAAAUUGUAGAUUCUGAGUUACAAUAUAUUGUAAACAAAUUCUGGUUUUACUAAAGAAGUGGUAUGACAUUUGUUAAUGUAAAAUAUAUUUAGCUAUUACAAAAAAAAAAAUGUAUUUAUGUGCAUUAUCUUGCUGGGCAGACUAUAGUUACUUAAUAUAUAAUACAAUUAUUUGAAACAAUACCAAAUGAUCAUAGUAAUAGAACAUAAAUUGUGGUAAUAACAUAGGUGAACCUAAAGAAUAAUACUAAUAUUUUUACUAUAAACUAAACUUAACUUAUGAUGUCAAAACAGUAAGAGAUGGAUAAAUCGUCCACAUUUGUUAUGCUUGUAAAGCUGCAUAAAACCAAUAAAAAUAUGUAAAAACCUAAAGAUCCGCUCUCUAGUUAUGAGGGACAAAAAUAAAAGCAUCUAACUAGAUAUUCUGACCUAAAUUAACUACUUUCUUAUCGAAAACUGUAGGUAUCUAAUUUUUAUGGCUCUAUUAUAUUAAAUGAGUAUAAUAUUAUAUUAAUUAAAAUAAUUUGUAAUAAUUUGUAGGAGAUGAUGAUUAACAAUAACAACAUUAAGUUUUCUAUGAGACACUUUUUCGAUACAAUACAUUUUUAUUUUUUCUUAACACUUAAUUUUUAAAUUAUUGUGAUGUAGUUUUAAAUUAUAGGAGCAUUGCCCAAAAUCUAUGAUUACUGAUUAAUAAUUGUUAGUAUUUAUUUUA